AACUUUGAUUAAAUGUGUAAAGCAUUGAAUGGCUCCCUUGAUUUUAAAGUAUUGGUGGACGUGUUGUAUCACGAAAUGAGAGAAAGAAGUUCUUUUUGAUUUUUCUCGAUCCAGAAAGAAAACUUAUUCAUAGGAAUACUUUCUAAUAUUUCCAUUAGGAAGAAAACAAGACGAACUGAAACAUCUAAGUAGUCUUUUGGAGAAAUCAACCGAGAUAUUGCUAGUAAUGGCGAGUGAACGCAAUUUAGAUUAGUCUAAAUUUAAGAAGGGAAUUGAAAUAUUCACAGAAGGUAAAAAUCCUGUAAAUUUCCCUUUUUGUUUUUGGUUUAGUAAAACAAUGCAAGCUUACAUUGUUUGAAGAUUGGGGUCCCACCCUCAAAAUCUAAAGUAUACUUUAAAAAUCUAUAGCGAACAAGUACCGUGAGGGAAAGGUGAAAAAGUACUUUCGAGAGUGAAAAGUUUAAAAUUCAAUGUUUAUUAACAGUCGGAGCUUUAAGUAGUGACGGCGUACCUUUUGCAUAAUGGGUCAGUGAGUUUUUUCUAUAAGCAAGCUUAAGUUGAUAAAUGAAGGCUAAUAAAAACAUGAAAAGUUUAUAGAAAAAAACCCGAAACUAAGUGAUCUAACCAUGAACAGAUUGAAAGUUUGGUGGAAACAUCGGCUGAAGGAUCGAACUCGUGUAUGUUGAAGAAUACUGGGAUGAUUUGUGGUUAGGGGUGAAAGGCUAAUCAAACUUAGAGAUAGCUGGUUUUCCGCGAAAUCUAUUUAAGUAGAGUGUUCAUAAAAGCAAAAUUGGGGUAGAGCACUCCGUAGGCUAGGGGGGUUUUUGGAUCUUACUGAACUUAUGGAAACUCCGAAUACAUUUUUGAUUUUUUGAAUAAACGGACUAUGGGCGCUAAGGUUCAUAGUCGAGAGGGAAACAGCCCAGACUGUUCGAUAAGGUCCUUAAUAAAAUUUUAGUUAGAAAGAAGUAAGAUGGUUUUCACAUUUUUGGAGUAGGCUUGGAAGCAGCCACCUCGUUGAAAAAGCGUAACAGCUUAAAGGCUUAAUCAUCUUGUACUUAAAAUGUAUGGGAAUAAAAUUUUAACCGAAGCGACAGACUUUGUAUAAGUGGUAGCGGAACGUCCUGGAAUUUGGAAAAGAUAAUUUGUGAAAAUUGUUGAAGAAACCAGGAGUGAGAAUACUGACAUGAGUAGCGAUAAACAAUGUUAAACAUUGUCGCCGUAAGCCCAAGGUUUCCGACGUAAAGAUAAGCUGCGUCGAGAAAAGACGGUCCCUAAGAAAAGGGCGGAAGCCUUUAUUGAUGGGUAUUAGUUAAAAUUCUAAAAAAAGGUGACGAAAGAAGAAGUUUAUCUUAAAUUAUUGAUUUUUUGGGGUAAUUAAUUUUUUCCAGGAAAAAGCCUUUUUAACAAAAACCGUACUGUAAACCGACACAGGUGGGCGAGUUGAGUAAACUCAGGCGCUUGAAAUAAUUAUGGUAAAGGAACUCGGCAAAAUGACUCUGUAACUUCGGAAGAAGGAGUGACUAAAAAAGGGAAAUCUUUUUUUGUUGGCACAGAAUCGGGGGUAGCGACUGUUUAGUAAAAACACAGGUCUCUGCUAAUUCGUAAGAAGAUGUAUAGGGACUGACACCUGCCCGGUGCUGCAAGAUUAAGGGGAGAGGUUUUGGCUUCGAACUUAAGUCCCAGUAAACGGCGGCUGUAACUCUGACGGUCCAAAGGUAGCGAAAUUCCUUGUCGGGUAAGUUCCGACCUGCAUGAAUGGUGUAACGACUUCCCCGCUGUCUCUACCAUAAGUUCAGUGAAAUUGAAAUAUCUGUGCAGAUGCAGAUUACCUACAGCUAGACGGAAAGACCCUAUGAACCUUUACUAUGUUUAUACAUUGCGUGAAAAAAGUUUUUGUCUAGUCUAGGUGGGAGCUAUGGCAAUCAUGGAAAACCACUCGUAAACCUUUUUUAUGCUCAUUCGUUUGCGAAGACAUUGUAUAUUAGGUAGUUUGACUGGGGCGGUCGCCUCCUAAAAAGUAACGGAGGCUAAUUUAAGGUGGGCUCAUUGGGUUUGUAUCCAACGAGAGUUUAAUGGCAUAAGCCCGCUUGACUGCAAGAUUGAUAAAUCGAGCAGAAACGAAAGUUGAUCAUAGUGAUCCGGUGGUUCUGCGUGGAAGGACCAUCGCUCAAAAGAUAAAAGGUACUCUAGGGAUAACAGGCUGAUGACUCUUAAGAGUUCCUAUCGACGGAGUCGUUUGGCACCUCGAUGUCGGCUCAUCACAUCCUGGAGCUGAAGGUGGUUCCAAGGGUUCGGCUGUUCGCCGAGGAAGGUGGUACGUGAGCUGGGUUUAGAACGUCGUGAGACAGUUCGGUCCCUAUCUACUGUAGGCGCAAGAAAACUGAGGGAAUUAGACCCUAGUACGAGAGGACCGGGAAAAGUGAAUCCAUGGUAUACCGGUUGUCUUGUCAAAGGCAUGGCCGGAAAGCUACAUUCAUAUUAGAAAAUUGCUGAAAGCAUAUAAGCAAGAAUCUAUUCUUAAGAUUAGUUUUCUAUUAAAAAUCGUGAAAGAUUAUCACGUUGAUAGGCUUUUGGUAGAAGAACUGUAAAGUUUGUAGCUUAAAAGUACUAACUUUUUUUAAUUAUUUUAUUAU
rnacentral:rRNA from 1 species